rnacentral:lncRNA from 1 species
CGGAAGUCCCGGAAGCCCUGAAUUAGCCCGUUCACGCCCUCCUCUGCUAGGAGGUCGUGAAACUCCUCCGACUCGCGGAAGAGCCUUACCGCGUUCUGGGCUCGCUCCCGAGCCUCGCGGUAUGCGGCCUUCCGCUCGAGGGUUUUUAUUUCCCGCUCGAGCUCCAAGUGUCGGAGGCGGGCAUUCCCCACCUCCUGCUCGCGGGAGGCCAACGCCAGCUCGGCUGCGGCCAAACGAGCCUCGACGGCGCGCACUUCGGACCUUGUUAGUGUGUGCGCGCCCUUCUCUUCAUCGAGCUCGGCGGUCAGAGCUCGAAUUCUUUCCUCGGAUGCUCCAAUUC